GACGAACGCUGGCGGCGUGCUUAACACAUGCAAGUCGAACGGAAAGGCCCUGCUUUCUCGGGGUGUCAGAGGGGGAAGGGGGUGUGAAACCCGGGAGUAUCCUUCCUUGGAGUUGGGAAUAUCUUCAGAAAGCCGGGACUAACACAGACUAGGAGCUCCUGAUACUGGGUGGGGUUCGGAACUUUUCGGCGGAGGGGGAUGGACUCGGGGCUAAUUAGCUGGUUGGGUGGGGAGUGGCUAACCAGGCGAUUGGCGGGUAGCCGGCAUGGGAGGUUAACCGGCCACAUUGGGACUGAGAGACGGCCCAGACUCCUACGGGAGGCAGCAGUGGGGAAUAUUGCACAAUGGGCGGAAGCCUGAUGCAGCAACGCCGCGAGCGGGAUGACGGCUUUCUGGUUGUAAACCGCUUUCGCCUGUGACGAAGCGUGAGUGACGGUAAUGGGUAAAGAAGCACCGGCUAACUACGUG
rnacentral:rRNA from 1 species